rnacentral:tRNA from 1 species
CAAAAUAUAGCUUAAAUAAAGCAUCUUGCUUACACCAAGAAUAUACCUGUGAAAAUCAGAUUAUUUUGA